UAUGACGAAAAUGGAGCAGCUCGCUGGGACUUAAUUUCCAAUUUGAGAAUUCAACAAAUAGAGAUGUCAACAAGUUUCAAGAUGUUUCUUGAUAAUUGGAAUAUUCAGACAGCUCUUUGGCUCAAAAGAAUUUUCUGAAGGAGAGAUAAAAACUGAGUUAAAUAAAGAUGAUCAGAAUGGGUAGGUUUAUUUUAGAAAUGUUUCCUGAAAGCUGUAACCUUUGAGUCCUCUCUCAGAUGAAGACUAGGCUGUGCGAGGCCAAGACAGUGGAUGAGCCACACUGGAAGAGGACACAGUUCUUUAGAGUAUUUGCCUAGACAGAACAUAGAGUAAUAUUUUGGGGAAACAAUUGAGAAAUUAGGUUGGUGACAUGAAAGAAAUAAGGAGAAGGAUAAUUUAGGGUAAGCCCUUGAAAACCAGUUAGAGGAAAGUGACGUGACAAAAACCAUGUUUGAACAAGCUGGUAAUGGCACUUACAGGUAAGAGGGCUUCAUUUAACAAACUAGCAGAUAUUUACUGUAUUCCAUUUUGAGGAACUUUGGGGAUAUAUGAGGGAAAUUUCAAGAAGUAUUAACUAAGGGUAGCUUCCAGUAGUUUGUAGUCUAAUUUGGGAUAAGGUGUAUAUGUGUGUACAUACCUUAUGCAUGUGUGUGUGUGCAUAAGACAGAUUCUGUGGGUGUUAUAAAUACUAAGUAGCAUAGGUGUUUAGAGAUGGAAGAAGUCUCUUUGGGUUGGGUUAAUUAGAGAUGGCCCCAUUAGGAAGGUGUUUGGAUCUGGACUUUGAGAGAUGAAAGUUAUUUCAAUAGUGAGUGAAGUAUAAUGGGGAAGAAAAUGACAUUCUAAGCAUCGGAAGGACAUUAGCAAAACCCAUAAUUCUUAGUGGCUAGGCUCUGCUAUCUCUUGCCUAGCUCACCACCAUGGCAGUCACCUGCUCUUGAUUCCAUCCUGUUCACCAAUGACAAAUCCAUUUGUCCUGAGAUGAGAAAUAACUUUAGACAUUAUUUCAUUGAACCUUCCCAACUGAAAUUAUUUUAUGAUGUUAUAACAUGGAUAGUAACUCAAGUAGCAAUAAGUUACACAGUUGUGCCAUUUGUGCUUCUUUCUAUAAAACCAUCACUCACGUUUUACAGCUCCUGGUAUUAUUGCCUGCACAUUCUUGGUAUCUUAGUAUUAUUG
rnacentral:lncRNA from 1 species